CCAGCAGCCGCGGUAAUUCCAGCUCUCAAGGUGUAUAUCGUCAUUGCUGCGGUUAAAAAGCUCGUAGUUGGAUCUGAGUUUGUGGACACGGUGCACCAUGCGUGUAACUGUGAUCCCGAACUGCUUUGUUGGUUUGCUAUUGCUUGCCUUCACUGGUAGGUAGUAGUGGCUGACAUGUUUACCUUGAAUAAAUCAGAGUGCUCAAGACAAGCGAAUUGCUUGAAUAUUCGUGCAUGGAAUAAUGGAACAGGACUUCGGUUCGUUCUAUUGGUCUUAGAACCGAUGUAAUGGUUAAGAGGGACAGACGGGGGCAUCCGUAUCGCUGCGUGAGAGGUGAAAUUCUU
rnacentral:rRNA from 1 species